rnacentral:rRNA from 1 species
UACGUAGGCAGCGAGCGUUUGUUCGGAAUUACUGGGCGUAAAGAGUGUGUAGGCGGUGCUCCCAGUCUGUUGUGAAAUCUCCCGGCUUAACUGGGAGGGUGCAGCGGAAACUAGAGUGCUAGAGGGUGGGAGAGGUAAGCGGAAUUCCUGGUGUAGCGGUGAAAUGCGUAGAUAUCAGGAGGAACACCUGUGGUGUAGACAGCUUACUGGACCACUUCUGACGCUGAGACACGAAAAGCGUGGGUAGCAAAACAGGAUUAGAAAACCCCCAGUAG